UACGGAAGGUCCGGGCGUUAUCCGGAUUUAUUGGGUUUAAAGGGUGCGCAGGCGGAUUUUUAAGUCAGCGGUCAAAUCGUGGGGCUCAACCCCAUCCAGCCGUUGAAACUGGGGAUCUAGAGUGUGCGAGAGGUAUGCGGAAUGCGUGGUGUAGCGGUGAAAUGCAUAGAUAUCGCGCAGAACUCCGAUUGCGAAGGCAGCAUGCCGGCUCCACACUGACGCUGAGGCACGAAAGCGUGGGUAUCGAACAGG
rnacentral:rRNA from 1 species